UCUGCACGGUUAAUACCUUUUUAGUCUGACGGUACUUGACGAAUAAGCACCGGCUAACUCCGUGCCAGCAGCCGCGGUAAUACUGAGGGUGCAAGCGUUAAUCGGAAUUACUGGGCGUAAAGCGUGCGUAGGCGGUUCGUUAAGUCUGCUGUGAAAACCCCGGGCUCAACCUGGGAAUGGCAGUGGAUACUGGCGAGCUAGAGUGUGUCAGAGGAUGGUGGAAUUCCCGGUGUAGCGGUGAUAUGCGUAGAGAUCGGGAGGAACAUCAUUGGCGAAGGCGGCCAUCUGGGACAACACUGACGCUGAGGCACGAAAGCGUGGGGAGCAAACAGGAUUAGAUACCCUGGUAGUCCACGCCCUAAACGAUGCGAACUGGAUGUUGGUCUCAACUCGGAGAUCAAUGUCGAAGCUAACGCGUUAAGAUCGCCGCCUGGGGAGUACGGUCUCAAGACUGAAACUCAAAGGAAUUGACGGAGGACA
rnacentral:rRNA from 1 species